rnacentral:lncRNA from 1 species
CUGGGAUCCCAGGAGAAGGGGCUGCCCGGAAAGGAGCUGGAAUCUCUGAGGAGGUGGACCUCAUCUGAUCAGUUGAAGUCUUGAAUAGAAUAAAAAGACUGACCCUCCCACGAGUAAGAGGGAAUCUCGCCUGCCUACCUGCCUGCCUUCAAACUGGGACAUUGGUUUUUUCCUGCCUUUAGACUCAAACUGAUCAUUGGCUCUUUGUGGGAUUCACGCCUGGCAGCCUUUGGACUGGAAAUACACCAUCAGCUCUCCGGGUCUCCAGCUUGCCAGCCCACCCUGCAGAUCGUGGGACUUGUCGGCCUCCACAAUCAUGUGAACUAAUUCCUUAUAAUAAGUCUCUUU